CUGCUAACGUACACGUAGAGUGAAAGUGAAGCAGCUUCAGAAUACAAUAAAUCUUCAAGAUGUUGGACGUGGAGCUGAUGAGCCGCUAUGUGUCUCCCAUCAACCCAGCUGUUUUCCCCCAUCUGACAGUGGUGUUGCUUGGCAUUGGAAUUUUCUUCAUGGCCUGGUUUUUUGUAUAUGAAGUUACCAGUACCAAGUUUGCACGUGACUUAUUGAAAGAAUUGGUGGUGUCACUUGUCGCUUCAGUCUUCAUGGGAUUUGGAGUCUUAUUUCUGCUUCUAUGGGUUGGCAUUUACGUCUGACAGCGGCUUCUGAACGGUAAUUACGGCAAGAGUGUGAUAGCAGUAUGCAUUGGAUGGAUCAUAUACAAGUUUCAUUUGGUUGUCUUUUCUGUGAAUGAAAGUCUGUUGUAUGUAUCAUUUGAGACCAAAAUAUAGUUUGUUUGUUACUAAAUAAAAUCUGUAAAAGUCA